rnacentral:rRNA from 1 species
AGUGAACGCUGGCGGUAGGCCUAACACAUGCAAGUCGAACGGCAGCACAGUAAGAGCUUGCUCUUACGGGUGGCGAGUGGCGGACGGGUGAGGAAUACAUCGGAAUCUACUUUUUCGUGGGGGAUAACGUAGGGAAACUUACGCUAAUACCGCAUACGACCUACGGGUGAAAGCAGGGGAUCUUCGGACCUUGCGCGAUUGAAUGAGCCGAUGUCGGAUUAGCUAGUUGGCGGGGUAAAGGUCCACCAAGGCGACAAUCCGUAGCUGGUCUGAGAGGAUGAUCAGCCACACUGGAACUGAGACACGGUCCAGACUCCUACGGGAGGCAGCAGUGGGGAAUAUUGGACAAUGGGCGCAAGCCUGAUCCAGCCAUACCGCGUGGGUGAAGAAGGCCUUCGGGUUGUAAAGCCCUUUUGUUGGGAAAGAAAAGCAGCAGGUUAAUACCCCGCUGUUCUGACGGUACCCAAAGAAUAAGCACCGGCUAACUUCGUG